rnacentral:lncRNA from 1 species
CAACUUCGCAGGGUGCAUCGAUAAACAACACUGACCAUGACUCUGAGGAGUUUACACUGCAGGGAGCUGAUCACUGUCUUCUUUCCUUUCUUCCCAAGCCAUCAUUUUAAUUUAUAUACCUAUGGGGAAGUCAUCUUUCAGCCUCUCCAAGGGGGAAAAAAAAACAAACAAGAGUAAUAUCUGGCUUCUCUACAGGAAGAUAAAGGGUUUGUCAAGACUGAAAUAUCAGCCCAACUAACCACUCUUUGGCAGCCAAGGGAAUGGACUGUGCCUGUUUUCUUCUGCUGCGUUUGAGGUCAGAGAAAACAAAUAAAGCUAUUUCCAGACCACAGAGAACUUUAUUACAGCUGAGACACAUGACUACUGUCUCCAACACACACUGCCUGUAGUAUAUCAACACAGCCACCUGGCCAGAGGAGCUGCUCCAAGAGUCACUAGGAAAUUUAACAGAAUUCCAUCCACCCCUGGCAAACUUCUGCUGCUGCGAAUUAUUUAGCCACACCAUUCCUGUGCUUACCCCAACAACCUAGACACAGAUCUGAGCACUUUUCCAUAAUUCCCACAAAUCAGCUGUUAAUUGCUGGCAGGCAGGCUGUAUUCUAUGGUCCACGUGACCAGUGAGGCAUGACCAGAAAGGAGCGUGGGGAAGAGUGGACCAAGCGACUCAGCUAGAGGCUGUCCAGCUGGAGUUCCUGCCUCCCUAAAAGCCCAGCAUAAAGCAAGCGAGCAC